rnacentral:lncRNA from 1 species
UUUGGGAACUUUUUGUCUGGGCUUACAAUAUUAGUCAUUUUUGGGCUAAGGAAAAAUACAGUUUUACCCCUCAUAUCUCCACGAUGCUGCAAAAACGAUUUGUACUGUGGAUCUUCGUCUGAUCUUCAUCUUCCUCCUCUGUGAUGGAAACUAAACCCUAAGAGAACCGGUAAACGGUAAACCCAAGGGAAUGAUAAGCAAUUUUUAAAUCUGGAAGAUUAUGGCUUGGAGAAAUAAGCCACAUCAAUCGGAGUAGAUGAAGCAAAACUUGUCGAUUCAAUCGAAAAAGAUGGUAUAAUUUCAGAUAUGUGCUUUCAAUUGCCCGAUUACAAAGAAUAAAAGAAAGAUUUCAAUUGAUGAAAAUUAAACCCUAAAGGAACUAGUAACGGGUGAACCAAAGGGAAAAAAAUUAAAAGUUUCUCGUCGCCGGCGUUUUUUAACAACCACAAUCAUCAUAGAUCUGCAUCUCCGACGUGUGUAAAUCAGUUCAUCUCGUCAUCUUCAUCACAGAUCUGCAUCACAAUUGUUUGAUUUCGUCAUCGUUACCACAUAUAUGCAUCUCUGUUAUGUGUGUUCUUCGAAAUUGUUCAUCAGGUAAAGUCAGAGAGAAAGACGAUGGACAUGGACCAGCAAAUCUUAACGGAGAAGCUUCGAAUUUUUUUAUUUUGACUCAGGGGAGAAAACAGAAACUAUGUAAGAAGGGUAAAAUCAUCAUUUCGUUAUGGUGAAAAUACCUAUAACGACAAGUAUGGACAAUCAGUCCGGAUCUGGUAAUAAUUGAUGGAAAUAAUGCCAACCCGGUAAUUGAUUC